rnacentral:rRNA from 1 species
UGGGGAAUCUUCCGCAAUGGACGAAAGUCUGACGGAGCAACGCCGCGUGUAUGAUGAAGGUCUUCGGAUUGUAAAGUACUGUCAUUGGGGAAGAACGGUUUUCUUGAAAAGAUUGAGAAGACAUGACGGUACCCAAGGAGGAAGCCCCGGCUAACUACGUGCCAGCAGCCGCGGUAAUACGUAGGGGGCAAGCGUUGUCCGGAAUUAUUGGGCGUAAAGGGCGCGUAGGCGGGCUUUUAAGUCCGGUGUGAAAGAUCAGGGCUCAACCCUGAGAGUGCAUCGGAAACUGGAGGCCUUGAGGACAGGAGAGGAAAGUGGAAUUCCACGUGUAGCGGUGAAAUGCGUAGAUAUGUGGAGGAACACCAGUGGCGAAGGCGACUUUCUGGACUGUAACUGACGCUGAGGCGCGAAAGCGUGGGGAGCAAACAGGAUUAGAUACCCUGGAG